ensembl:ribozyme RNaseP_nuc Nuclear RNase P
GGUGGAGGGAGCUCAUCAGUGGGGCUACAAACUGAGUGUGUCACGUCACUCUUCUACGGCCCUUGGGAAGGUCUGAGACUAUGGCCAAUAGCGGCCCUAACAGGGCCCUCCCUGAGCUCAGGGGAGGUGAGUUCCCAGAGCGAGGGCAGACUGGGCAGGAGUUUCAUAGCCUUCCCUGUAAACCUCUUUUUGGCCACU